CGGGGUGGGGCUCGUGUGCUUCCCCCCUCCACGGGUAGAGCGUGCUAGGGCUGUUGGUGCACGGGGAGGGUUUGGCAAUAUUGUUGGCGCCUAGUACCUCCUGCCACGUCAGUGCCGGGCCGCCGUGUGGUGCCAUGGUGACGGCGCAAGAGACCGUCCAGUUGGACCUCGACGCCAGCAAUUCUAGCGCCAAAAAGGAUCAUUCCUUAAAUAAGUUUUUUCUAAGAAUCUAUUUAUAAAAUAAGUUUGUGAAAAUGACCAAAUUGUAAAAAAUCAAGGAGAGUACAUGACAACCUCGUAUACACAUACUGGAUCUUGUGUUUGUAGACGACUAUAAAUUUGUAUCCCUCUCGUCUUCUGUCUUCUCCACCCAAGUACAAAUUUGAAGUGGCAAUUUUUAAUUUUCACUCACAACACUUGUUAUACUUGCUCUAACACAUAAGUAUCUGAUAUACACCCAAAAGGUAUAUGCGAGCUACAAGAGUGGAUUAUUGGGUGAAAUCAGUCAAGCCCUCCAGGAUGGACUAAUGGAAUUAGAAACAAUAUAAUUAAUUUUGGUGCCACCACGAGUCAUGCUGCAGAUGGUAAGGUUAGUUGUUCCUGAUUCUCUUUAAUUAAUAUAACUAGUAUUAUGGCUAAUUACGUACACGUGCAUGUCGUGGAAUCAAAUCAACGACAACUUUUGCUGGCUAGUGCCAAACCGGUCACAGGAAGAAAGGAGGACAUGGCAUUGACCCAUGGUAAACGAUAUGGCAAUCGAACUGCACGCACUACUCACUGCUACUUGCUCCGUACAAAAAAAAAUCAAAAACUGGAUAUGACAUAUCUAUCAUAGUACAACGAAUCUGAAAAGAGGACUGUCCAGAUUCAUUAUAUUAGAAUGUGUCUCUAGUAUUAGGUUGGUUUUUUAUGGGACGGAGGGAGUACGUAACAUGCCUGCUGCUAGCUAGCUAGCUGUGGGUCUAUAAAUCGUGAAAACUCAACAGCUAUGUAGAGAAGCAACAAAUUAACCAAAGAGGGUGCAAUUUCAGUCAGAGUAGGGAGAAGAAAAGAGUUAGUUUAGAAAUGAGGAAGCAACACACUUCUUCUGCUGUUGCUGCUGUUGCUGCGUCUCUUUGCAAGGUGCUCCUGAUGAUCCUCGCCCUCCUCUGCACCCUGCACACUGCCUCCGUGGUCGAAGGGAGAUCAGGUCCUCCGAACGGGCCGCCAGCUCCUAGUGCCAACGAAGAGCGGCACAAUACACCGGCCUUUCACAACUAGCUAGCUUGAUAUAACAGCUGCAGACUCACCAUGCAUGACAACCUACAUACCUGCAGCUCUCUAUACCCAUGACAUGGCAUGUAAUAAUAUGUGUGUGUGAUACUACGUAUGUACUGUUUCUGUUGCCGGAUCGGAUGAUGAUCGAUGUUCAACUUACUCUCCUAGCUGAGUAGUCCCUUAAUCCUUUUCAUCUCUUUGUGUAACUAGUGAGCAAAGGAAAAUUAAAUAUAGGGAUCUCAUCGAUCUGGGGCUUCUCCAUGUCUGUCAAGAGCUUGUGUAGAUCGAGCUGUGUGAUGGUGUUAAUCCUGGGAGGCACACUAUACAUACGAAGAGUUUUAACAGA